GUGUAUGAUGAGAAACCUAUUUUUAUGUAACUCGGGAGAACUGAGCAUAUUACCUGAUGAGUAAACAAUCAAUCGUUAGAUAGUAGCACUGAUGU